rnacentral:rRNA from 1 species
GACGAACGCUGGCGGCGUGCCUAAUACAUGCAAGUCGAACGCUUUUUCUUUCACCGGAGCUUGCUCCACCGAAAGAAAAAGAGUGGCGAACGGGUGAGUAACACGUGGGUAACCUGCCCAUCAGAAGGGGAUAACACUUGGAAACAGGUGCUAAUACCGUAUAACACUACUUUCCGAAUGGAAGAAAGUUGAAAGGCGCUUUUGCGUCACUGAUGGAUGGACCCGCGGUGCAGUAGCUAGUUGGUGAGGUAACGGCUCACCAAGGCAACGAUGCAUAGCCGACCUGAGAGGGUGAUCGGCCACACUAGGACUGAGACACGGCCCAGACCCCUACGGGAGGCAGCAGUAGGGAAUCUUCGGCAAUGGACGAAAGUCUUACCGAGCAACGCCGCGUGAGUGAAGAAGGUUUUCGGAUCGUAAAACUCUGUUGUCAGAGGAGAACAAGGAUGAGAGUAAAACGUUCAUCCCUUGACGGUAUCUAACCAGAAAGCCACGGCUAACUACGUGCCAGCAGCCGCCGUAA